rnacentral:rRNA from 1 species
CGCCGGCGGCGUGCCUAACACAUGCAAGUCGAACGAUGAUAGAAGAGCUUGCUUUUCUUGAUUAGUGGCGCACGGGUGAGUAAUGCAUAGAUAAUGUGCCCCUUAGUUCGGGAUAGCCACUGGAAACGGUGAUUAAUACCGGAUACUCCUUCUCAUUAUAAGAUGAGUCGGGAAAGUUUUUCGCUAAGGGAUCAGUCUAUGUUCCAUCAGCUUGUUGGUGAGGUAAUGGCUCACCAAGGCUAUGACGGAUAUCUGGUUUGAGAGGAUGAUCAGACACACUGGAACUGAGACACGGUCCAGACUCCUACGGGAGGCAGCAGUGAGGAAUAUUGCACAAUGGAGGAAACUCUGAUGCAGCAACGCCGCGUGGAGGAUGACGCAUUUCGGUGUGUAAACUCCUUUUAUUAGGGAAGAUAAUGACGGUACCUAAUGAAUAAGCACCGGCUAACUCCGUGCCAGCAGCCGCGGUAAUACGGAGGGUGCAAGCGUUACUCGGAAUCACUGGGCGUAAAGGGUGCGUAGGCUGGCUUUUAAGUCAGAUGUGAAAUCCAAUGGCUUAACCAUUGAACUGCAUUUGAAACUGGGAGCCUAGAGUUCAGAAGGGGCAGAUGGAAUUAGUGGUGUAGGGGUAAAAUCCGUAGAUAUCGCUAGGAAUAUCAAAAGCGAAGGCGAUCUGCUGGGAUGAUACUGACGCUGAGGCACGAAAGCGUGGGGAGCAAACAGGAUUAGAUACCCUGGUAGUCCACGCCCUAAACGAUGAAUGCUAGUCGUCGGGGAGCUCGUCUCUUCGGUGAUGCACUUAACAGAUUAAGCAUUCCGCCUGGGGAGUACGGUCGCAAGAUUAAAACUCAAAGGAAUAGACGGGGACCCGCACAAGUGGUGGAGCAUGUGGUUUAAUUCGAAGAUACACGAAGAACCUUACCUGGCCUUGACAUGGUAGGAACCCUUAAGAGAUUAGGGGGUGCUAGCUUGCUAGAACCUACACACAGGUGCUGCACGGCUGUCGUCAGCUCGUGUCGUGAGAUGUUGGGUUAAGUCCCGCAACGAGCGCAACCCUCGUCAUUAGUUGCUAACAGUUUGGCUGAGCACUCUAAUGAGACUGCCUUCGUAAGGAGGAGGAAGGUGAGGACGACGUCAAGUCAUCAUGGCCCUUACGGCCAGGGCUACACACGUGCUACAAUGGGGCGUACAGAGGGCUGCAAUACCGCGAGGUGGAGCCAAUCCCUUAAAGCGUCUCUCAGUUCGGAUUGUUCUCUGCAACUCGAGAACAUGAAGCUGGAAUCACUAGUAAUCGUAGAUCAGCUAUGCUACGGUGAAUACGUUCCCGGGUCUUGUACUCACCGCCCGUCACACCAUGGGAGUUGAUUUCACCCGAAAUCGGGAUGCCAAACUGGCUACCGCUUACGGUGGAAUUAGCGACUGGGGUGAAGUGGUAACAAGG